ACAACUUCGGUUCUCUGGCUGGCGACCGGCGGACGGGUGCGUAACACGUAGCUACUUGCCCCACAGUGGGGGAUAACCCGGGGAAACCCGGGCUAAUACCGCAUACACCCGAGAGGGGAAAGCCGUAAGGCGCUGUGGGAUAGGGCUGCGGCGUAUCAGGUAGUUGGUGGGGUAACGGCCUACCAAGCCGAUGACGCGUAGCUGGUCUGAGAGGAUGAUCAGCCACACUGGAACUGAGACACGGUCCAGACUCCUACGGGAGGCAGCAGUGGGGAAUCUUGGGCAAUGGGGGAAACCCUGACCCAGCAACGCCGCGUGGAGGAAGACGCCCUUCGGGGUGUAAACUCCUUUUGCAGGGGAAGAGAGAGACGGU
rnacentral:rRNA from 1 species